UACGGAGGGUGCAAGCGUUAAUCGGAAUUACUGGGCGUAAAGCGCACGCAGGCGGUCUGUCAAGUCGGAUGUGAAAUCCCCGGGCUCAACCUGGGAACUGCAUUCGAAACUGGCAGGCUGGAGUCUUGUAGAGGGGGGUAGAAUUCAGGUGUAGCGGUGAAAUGCGUAGAGAUCUGGAGGAAUACCGGUGGCGAAGGCGGCCCCCUGGACAAAGACUGACGCUCAGGUGCAAAAGCGUGGGGAGCAAACAGG
rnacentral:rRNA from 1 species